rnacentral:lncRNA from 1 species
UGAUGAGGACAUAAAAUCUAAUCCUAUUCAAGAGGAGAAAAAGGUAAUCCUUGAAGAAUAUAUCCAAGAACACACAAAGGUAUGUUCCAACAAAUCGUGCAUAGACAGUUUUGAUGAAGAAGACGUACGGACCAAGAUUGAAGAGCACAAGCCCAACCACGGUGAACUAAGCCAAGACCCUCAUUUCUCCAUAUUCUUGACCCAUCAAGGAUCCACUAAGAAGCAAGAAACGGCCCAUAAUGGUUCAAACCUGACUAGAACCGAGAUCACAAACCGGGUGGUCCAAAACUGUCCAAAUUCGGCAAUUUCCUUAUUUGGAUCACUACAGACUUACCUUUGGCGACCAGGAGACUUUUCCUAUGAUUUAAAGGCUCCUAAUAGUGUUUUAAGGUGUACUAUCAAGCAUGAGAUCAAUUGGACCAGUCCACACCUCGACUUUCCAUAUUCGGCGCUAAAUCAAGCAAUUAAUGUCGCAUGGAUAUAAAUUCUUGAUUUAUUCGACCAGCCUGAUUUGGAGACCUUCCACACCAUAAAGACAACUCCAAAACGUCACUACUUCAUGCCAAAGUUGUCUAGAUACAAAGAACUCUCACAUUUUCCUCAUUUGGCCCAAAAUCGAGCAUUAAAGGCCAUAUCAAUCAGACCUUUGAUUGAUUUAUCAUUUAGUUUAAUUUAUUUGUAUUUAUGUUGAUUUAUUUUCUCAUUUAUUGUUUUAAAACAUUUGUGUACGAGCCUAUAUAAGCUCAUCUCAUGUCAUUGUAAAAGACACCCUUGAAUUUGAAAGAAAUAGAAAAACUGAGAAGUUUUCUCACCUUUAAAGCUUCGGCUUUGUUUGCUUGUCUUUUCUAUUGUGUGUGAUUCCCUUAGAAAGCAAGUUUGAUCUUUGUCUUUGUGUGUGAUUCACAUAGACAUUGAUUCGUGUUCUUAUCGCAAAGUCAUUCCGCAACUUUGUGUGGCGAACUUCGAUCCAUUCAAGCCGUAGGCCUUGAAACCGUGUGAUCAAUAAGUUUGGUGUGAUUCCAAUCUUAUAUCAUUUGGUAUCAGAGCUAAAAGCUCCUACCUUUUAUAGUUUUCAAUUUCGUUUUCUUUUGUUUCAUAUUUAAAAAAAAAGUUCAAAAAAAAAGAAAUCGUUUUUAACAUUUUUUAUUUUGUUUCUUUCGUUAAAAAAAAAAAAAAAUCAUUUUUCCUUAUUUCAGUUUUCAUGUUAAGACCAAAAGUUUUUCAAGGAGGAUAUGGACCUGAAGCAUAUCUAUCUUGGACCGCACACAUGGAUAGUUGUAUUUGGCACCACCGAAUGCCUGAACACGAGAGACUACCACUAGUCAUCAAACAAUUACGAGGUGAAGCCGCAUCAUGGUGGAAUCUAGAAGAAGAAGAACGUUGGUACUACAAUGAGCCACCCAUCAACACUUGGGAAGAGCUCAAGCUUUUCAUGGACGAGAGGUAUAUACCCAGCGAUUUUCCUGAAGAUAUCAAGGAGCGCUAUGGCAGAAGGCCAAUCCGCAAGCGUGCACCAAAAGUUCAACAAGAACACCCCACACGUGCACACGUCCAUCACAAGCCAUGUGAACAAGUUUUGAGGACAAAACUUUUUGAAGGAGGAGGGUAUGAUGAGGACAUAAAAUCUAAUCCUAUUCAAGAGGAGAAAAAGGUAAUCCUUGAAGAAUAUAUCCAAGAACACACAAAGGUAUGUUCCAACAAAUCGUGCAUAGACAGUUUUGAUGAAGAAGAUGUACGGACCAAGAUUGAAGAGCACAAGCCCAACCACGGUGAACUAAGCCAAGACCCUCAUUUCUCCAUAUUCUUGACCCAUCAAGGAUCCACUAAGAAGCAAGAAACGGCCCAUAAUGGUUCAAACCUGACUAGAACCGAGAUCACAAACCGGGUGGUCCAAAACUGUCCAAAUUCGGCAAUUUCCUUAUUUGGAUCACUACAGACUUACCUUUGGCGACCAAGAGACUUUUCCUAUGAUUUAAAGGCUCCUAAUAGUGUUUUAAGGUGUACUAUCAAGCAUGAGAUCAAUUGGACCAGUCCACACCUCGACUUUCCAUAUUCGGCGCUAAAUCAAGCAAUUAAUGUCGCAUGGAUAUAUCUUCUUGAUUUAUUCGACCAGCCUGAUUUGGAGACCUUCCACACCAUAAAGACAACUCCAAAACGUCACUACUUCAUGCCAAAGUUGUCUAGAUACAAAGAACUCUCACAUUUUCCUCAUUUGGCCCAAAAUCGAGCAUUAAAGGCCAUAUCAAUCAAACCUUUGAUUGAUUUAUCAUUUAGUUUAAUUUAUUUGUAUUUAUGUUGAUUUAUUUUCUCAUUUAUUGUUUUAAAACAUUUGUGUACGAGCCUAUAUAAGCUCAUC